UACGUAGGGGGCAAGCGUUGUCCGGAUUUAUUGGGCGUAAAGAGCGUGUAGGCGGCCAGGCAGGUCCGCUGUGAAAACUCGAGGCUCAACCUCGAGAUGUCGGCGGAAACCAUCUGGCUAGAGUCCGGAAGAGGAGAGUGGAAUUCCUGGUGUAGCGGUGAAAUGCGCAGAUAUCAGGAAGAACACCCGUGGCGAAGGCGGCUCUCUGGGACGGUACUGACGCUGAGACGCGAAAGCGUGGGGAGCGAACAGG
rnacentral:rRNA from 1 species